rnacentral:rRNA from 1 species
CCCUUAGACGUUCUGGGCCGCACGCGCGCUACACUGACCAGUGCAACAAGCAUCCGUCCUUGGCCGACAGGCUCGGGCAAUCUUUGAACGCUGGUCGUGAUGGGGAUAGACUUUUGCAAUUUUUGGUCUUCAACGAGGAAUUCCUAGUAAACGCAAGUCAUCAGCUUGCAUUGAUUACGUCCCUGCCCUUUGUACACACCGCCCGUCGCACCUACCGAUUGAAUGGUCCGGUGAAGCCUCCGGAUUGGCGCGCACCUCGGUGCCGCCGAGAAGUUGGCUAAACCUUACCAUUUAGAGGAAGGUGAANUCGUANCA